rnacentral:rRNA from 1 species
UACAGAGGUCCCGAGCGUUGUUCGGAUUCAUUGGGCGUAAAGGGUGCGUAGGCGGCUUUCUAAGUCUGAUGUGAAAUCCCGGGGCUCAACCCCGGAACUGCAUUGGAUACUGGGAAGCUCGAGUACUGGAGAGGGAACUGGAAUUUACGGUGUAGCAGUGAAAUGCGUAGAGAUCGUAAGGAAGGCCAGUGGCGAAGGCGAGUUCCUGGACAGUAACUGACGCUGAGGCACGAAGGCCAGGGGAGCAAACGGG